rnacentral:rRNA from 1 species
CGAACGGGUGAGUAACACGUGAGCAAUCUGCCCUUGACUCUGGGAUAAGCGUUGGAAACGACGUCUAAUACCGGAUACGACCCUCGGAGGCAUCUCCUGGGGGUGGAAAGAAUUUUGGUCAAGGAUGAGCUCGCGGCCUAUCAGCUUGUUGGUGAGGUAAUGGCUCACCAAGGCGACGACGGGUAGCCGGCCUGAGAGGGUGACCGGCCACACUGGGACUGAGACACGGCCCAGACUCCUACGGGAGGCAGCAGUGGGGAAUAUUGCACAAUGGGCGAAAGCCUGAUGCAGCAACGCCGCGUGAGGGACGACGGCCUUCGGGUUGUAAACCUCUUUUAGUAGGGAAGAAGCGAAAGUGACGGUACCUGCAGAAAAAGCACCGGCUAACUACGUGCCAGCAGCCGCGGUAAUACGUAGGGUGCAAGCGUUGUCCGGAAUUAUUGGGCGUAAAGAGCUCGUAGGCGGUUUGUCGCGUCUGCUGUGAAAUCCCGAGGCUCAACCUCGGGUCUGCAGUGGGUACGGGCAGACUAGAGUGCGGUAGGGGAGAUUGGAAUUCCUGGUGUAGCGGUGGAAUGCGCAGAUAUCAGGAGGAACACCGAUGGCGAAGGCAGAUCUCUGGGCCGUAACUGACGCUGAGGAGCGAAAGCAUGGGGAGCGAACAGGAUUAGAUACCCUGGUAGUCCAUGCCGUAAACGUUGGGAACUAGAUGUGGGGACCAUUCCACGGUCUCCGUGUCGCAGCUAACGCAUUAAGUUCCCCGCCUGGGGAGUACGGCCGCAAGGCUAAAACUCAAAGGAAUUGACGGGGGCCCGCACAAGCGGCGGAGCAUGCGGAUUAAUUCGAUGCAACGCGAAGAACCUUACCAAGACUUGACAUAUACGAGAACGGGCCAGAAAUGGUCAACUCAUU